GAUCCUGGCUCAGAUUGAACGCUGGCGGCAGGCCUAACACAUGCAAGUCGAACGGUAACAGGAAGCAGCUUGCUGCUUUGCCGACGAGUGGCGGACGGGUGAGUAAUGUCUGGGAAACUGCCCGAUGGAGGGGGAUAACUACUGGAAACGGUAGCUAAUACCGCAUAACGUCGCAAGACCAAAGAGGGGGGACCUUAGGGCCUCUUGCCAUCGGAUGUGCCCAGAUGGGAUUAGCUAGUAGGUGGGGUAAAGG
rnacentral:rRNA from 1 species